rnacentral:rRNA from 1 species
UUUAAUUAUCAUAUAUAAAAGUGAAAAUAUAAAAUAUAAAUUAAUUUUAGUUGGGGCAACUGGGAGGGAUAAAAAUCUUUUAUUAAAUCAUCUAUAGUAAUAUUUAUAUUUAUGAUCCAAAUUAGUUAAUUUUGAACUUAGAAU